CAGACCUGAAAUCAGGGCGAGGGUUACCCGCUGAACUUAAGCCAUAUUAUUAAGCGGAGGAGAAGAAAAUAACUAUGACUCCCUUAGUAACGGCGAGUGAACCGGGAUCAGCUCAAAGUGGAAAUCAACUGCUCUUUCCGAGCUGUUGACUUGUAGCCUCGAGAGGCGUUACCAGUGGAAGCGCAGGGUUAAGUUUCUUGGGAAAGAACAUCAUAGAGGGUGAGAAUCCCGUCCUUCCCCUGCGUUUUUUGUUCCACGUACGGUACGCUUUUAUAGAGUCGCGUUCAUCGGGAUUUGAGCGCAAAAUGUGUGGUAGGUUUCACAUAAAGCUAAGUACUGGCGCGAGACCGAUAGCAAACAAGUACCGUGAGGGAAAGAUGAAAAGUUCUUUGGAAAGAGAGUUAAAAGUGCCUGAAAUUGCUGAAAAGGAAGCGAUUGGGACCUUUUUGAUUCCAAGAAGUGCCGCCGGUUUGCCAUCUAUCCCUUUGCCUUCUCUCUCUCACCAGGUUUAGGCUUUGGUUUCUUGAUGUAUUUCCGGUUCAUCUUUUUGGAGAGGUCAGCAUCAGCUACUCGGAAUUGAUUUCGUUCAAAGAAGGUAGGUUCCUUGUGGACCGUUAUAUCUUUGUUCUUUCCUUUUCCUUGUGGCUGAGGAGUGUUCCUGUUUCCGAGCUCCACUUUCGAGUACUCGGUUUCUGUGAUGCUGGCUUAAUCGGUUCCAACCGACCCGUCUUGAAACACGGACCAAGGAGUCUAACAUAUGUGCGAGUAUGCGGGUUUUACUCCUGUAUGCGCAACAUGAAGUGAGAGUAGGGAGAUUUUGGCUUUGCAUUCU